rfam:Cyanothece sp. ATCC 51142 circular chromosome, complete sequence.
GUGUGUGUGAGGAGUAAGAACGAAAGACAAAAGCCUUUGAGGUCGAAACAUGGCCAGACUCUUGAAGGCUUUUUUUCU